rnacentral:rRNA from 1 species
CAUGCCGCGUGUGUGAAAAGGCCUUCGGGUUGUAAGCACUUUUGUCCGGAAAGAAAACUUCGGGGUUAAUACCUCUGGAGGAUGACGGUACCGGAAGAAUAAGCACCGGCUAACUACGUGCCAGCAGCCGCGGUAAUACGUAGGGUGCGAGCGUUAAUCGGAAUUACUGGGCGUAAAGCGUGCGCAGGCGGUCUGUUAAGACAGAUGUGAAAUCCCCGGGCUUAACCUGGGAACUGCAUUUGUGACUGGCAGGCUAGAGUAUGGCAGAGGGGGGUAGAAUUCCACGUGUAGCAGUGAAAUGCGUAGAGAUGUGGAGGAAUACCGAUGGCGAAGGCAGCCCCCUGGGCCAAUACUGACGCUCAUGCACGAAAGCGUGGGGAGCAAACA